CUGUAUUUCAAGCACGAAGUGCUCAGAGACAGUCAGCUCUUGGCUCCUUGAGCACAGAACUGCUACAAAUAACAGUGAUGUAUGAAAGCCCGGAACAACAGGACAGAUAUUCUGAAUGUGAAAUCAGAGUUUCUCAUUGCUAUGUUCCUGACAGAAUCAUAGCAGAAAGGUCUCCAAAUUGCCUGAUGGGCUGUAGAUUGAUUUCUGUACCACAGGUACAUUUGCUCAUUUACAACCAUUCUCAGCAUUUUCAAAAAAGGAUGCCUAAAAGUGUGAUGGUAUCCGGAUGUAUGGAGCAUACAGUUCAGGUGAGUAUUCUGGUUUUGGUCUAAUAUUUGAAAACACCUCACCAAAAUGACAGCCCUAGCAGUGUUUUGUGAAGAGCAGCUCUGUGGACUCCAGCAUACAUCACCAUGAGUAUCGCUCACUGGAUCUGGGGUCAGCGUUAAGGCCUCUGGAGCUCAACCUGUGGAAUAAACACUGAAGUUUUUUCCAAGAAAAUAAUCUGAGAGAAAAGCUUUCCUUCUGCCUUCUUUCUUCUCCACACUCCUUACCACUGUUGAUAAGAAAAUGAAGACAAGAUGAUCUCUUCUGUUUAUACAUGUUUUGUUGUAAGGCUUUUGCUUUGGGCUAAUUUCUUCCACUUGGCCGGCCAGCUUUUCUCCUGGGAUCUCUGAUAGUUGCUGUAGUGUUUGGCAGCCUGUGGCUCUGCAAGGUGUAAUGACUGGCUUCAAAUUUUCUGCUUUCUUCUGUCACUAUAAUACCUGGUGUUAGAAGUGCUGUUUACGAACUCCUUUUUUUCUUUUGAGAGGGAAUGACAGAUUACCAUUCAUCGCAUACACUUGUAAACAUUUCAACUGGAAGUAACCAGAAGAGUAGUGCAAUUAUUCCUUGUAGCUUUCUCCAGUAUUGCUCUUCGACAUUAUAGACAAACCAGCAUGAAUAUUCUUUUUUUCAUCUGAGCAAAAGCCAAUGCAGUUUUGUGUUAGGACUCCCAUCACGACCAAUUUCCUUUGCUGUCAGUCUACACCUUCUGUUUGUCAUUUCUUUCUUAGUAUGCUAUUUAAAAUAUGAAUGUUCUUUCUUUGCUGCAUAUACUGUGAAGUCUGCUUUGUACAAUGUGUCAAGUUUUUGUAUCUUACAUUUGCACUUAUUUAAGUUGGAUUUGAGCUGUCACAUUCAAAAUUUGCUAUAUUUCUAGUUCACAAAAUGCAUGUGGAAUUUUCCUGUGAUGGAGUGACUGUUGUGAACUGGGCUCUUUGGCAAAUAAUUUCAUGCUGAGGAACCAGAUGGACAGGCACCCAAGCAGAAUACCUCCUUGUUUAAAUCAAUAUGAACUGGAGGCCAUUUCUUGGUAAUUGAGUUAAUGAGGUCAGUGAGAACUUCUUACUAGGAAUAAUUUGAAUGAUUUUGUAUUCUUAUAAUCACUUGUUAUGAAUGUACAACCAGUGUGAUCAUUCCUGGCUAGCAACUCAGAGAUUUAAAUGUUGAAAUGGAUAUUUGUGAUGACACAGGAAGUCUUUGUGGAAUUCACAGUAUUUUCAAAAACUCAGAUCAUUAUUUUAGGUUCAUAGGAAUAGUAAUUUUUAAAAUUAUUUUUAAUUUGACUUUGUGUUUCUCAGGCGUUACUUAAUAAAAAAAAAACAACUGUGCCAAUUCUCAUCCUUAAACCAAAACCCAAAUCCUCUCUUCCUUGCUUCUGCUAUCUCAAAGGAGGUAGUAUGGAAAUACUUAGAAAUUUGGUUGGCAUUUAUGCUAUGAAUGAGAAUUUUGAAAACUGAUUGGGCUGAAUAUGGUUGCUUUUCCUCUGUAUUUUGUACUGAAUGUUGUUUUAUUCUCUACUCAGGUGUAACUUUGAUUUUAUCUUGCAUUUUAGUCUUGGAAAGAGUUUUAGCAUUAAAUGUGCAUAAGUGACAUUUGCCCCACAAAGAUGGUUGUUGUCAGGACAGACUGAAAAAGCAAACCAAAAGUAAAUCAAAAACUCCUCUAAAGAAAUGACUUUUUGUGGACAGCAUAAAUUAUAGUGAGAUAAUGGAAAUGUUACUUGAUGUAAACGCUACCUGAUCAAAAGUCAACACUUGUACAAAAU
ensembl:lncRNA